UACGAAGGGGGCUAGCGUUGUUCGGAAUUACUGGGCGUAAAGCGCACGUAGGCGGAUAUUUAAGUCAGGGGUGAAAUCCCAGAGCUCAACUCUGGAACUGCCUUUGAUACUGGGUAUCUUGAGUAUGGAAGAGGUAAGUGGAAUUGCGAGUGUAGAGGUGAAAUUCGUAGAUAUUCGCAAGAACACCAGUGGCGAAGGCGGCUCACUGGCCCGGUACUGACGCUGAGGUGCGAAAGCGUGGGGAGCAACAGGAGUUAAG
rnacentral:rRNA from 1 species